rnacentral:rRNA from 1 species
CACGUAGGGUGCAAGCGUUGUCCGGAAUCAUUGGGCGUAAAGAGCUCGUAGGCGGCUUAGUAAGUCGGGUGUGAAAACCCCAGGCUCAACCUGGGGACGCCACCCGAUACUGCUAUAGCUAGAGUCCAGUAGGGGAGUGUGGAAUUCCCAGCGUAGCGGUGAAAUGCGCAGAUAUUGGGAGGAACACCAGCGGCGAAGGCGGCACUCUGGGCUGGUACUGACGCUGAGGAGCGAAAGCGUGGGUAGCGAACAGG